rnacentral:lncRNA from 1 species
GAAAAUGCAGGUCAUGAGUUUCUUUUUUGGAAACAACAGGGCGCAGGCUGCCAACAUUGGCCUUGACGUCUCCAUGAUCCCAUGGGUUCCGGGGCGACACAGUGAUGUACUAC